rnacentral:rRNA from 1 species
AGAUUGAACGCUGGCGGCAUGCCUAACACAUGCAAGUCGAACGGUAACAGGUCUUCGGAUGCUGACGAGUGGCGGACGGGUGAGUAAUGCGUAGGAAUCUGUCUUUUAGUGGGGGACAACCCAGGGAAACUUGGGCUAAUACCGCAUGAGCCCUGAGGGGGAAAGCGGGGGAUCUUCGGACCUCGCGCUAAGAGAGGAGCCUACGUCCGAUUAGCUAGUUGGCGGGGUAAAGGCCCACCAAGGCGACGAUCGGUAGCUGGUCUGAGAGGACGACCAGCCACACUGGGACUGAGACACGGCCCAGACUCCUACGGGAGGCAGC